rnacentral:rRNA from 1 species
CAGUCGCCGCGGGAAUACAGAGGGUGCGAGCGUUAAUCGGAUUUACUGGGCGUAAAGCGUGCGUAGGCGGCUUCUUAAGUCGGAUGUGAAAUCCCUGAGCUUAACUUAGGAAUUGCAUUUGAUACUGGGAAGCUAGAGUAUGGGAGAGGAUGGUAGAAUUCCAGGUGUAGCGGUGAAAUGCGUAGAGAUCUGGAGGAAUACCGAUGGCGAAGGCAGCCAUCUGGCCUAAUACUGACGCUGAGGUACGAAAGCAUGGGGAGCAAACAGGAUUAGAUACCCCCGUAGUCCCUGUCUCUUAUAC